rnacentral:rRNA from 1 species
GACAGAGGGGGCAAGCGUUGCUCGGAAUCACUGGGCGUAAAGGGCGCGUAGGCGGGAUGGCAAGUCAGUCGUGAAAUCUCUCGGCUCAACCGAGAAACGUCGGCUGAUACUGCCGUUCUUGAGGGAUGCAGAGGAGACUGGAAUUCCCGGUGUAGCGGUGAAAUGUGUAGAGAUCGGGAGGAACACCGGUGGCGAAGGCGGCGAUCUGGGAAGAUACUGACGCUGAGGUGCGAAAGCGUGGGGGAGCAAACAGG